rnacentral:misc_RNA from 1 species
GAUGAAGAACGCAGCGAAAUGCGAUAAGUAAUGCGAAUUGCAGAAUUCAGUGAGUCAUCGAAUCUUUGAACGCACAUUGCGCCCUGUGGUAUUCCGCAGGGCAUGCCUGUUCGAGCGUCAUUUCAACCCUCAAGCCUCGCUUGGUGUUGGGCCCUGCCCGCCGCGGCCGGCCCUAAAGAUAGUGGCGGCGCCGCCUGGCCCUCAGCGUAGUACAGCUCUCGCUCCAGGGUCCGACGGCAGCCUGCCAGAACCCCCCAACUCUGUGGUUGACCUCGGAUCAGGUAGGGAUACCCGCUGAACUUAAGCAUAUCAAUAAGCGGAGGA